rnacentral:rRNA from 1 species
GUGCCAGCCGCCGCGGUAAUACAGAGGGUGCGAGCGUUGUUCGGAAUUAUUGGGCGUAAAGGGCGCGUAGGCGGUGCGGUAAGUCACCUGUGAAAUCCCCGGGCUUAACCCGGGGCCUGCAGGCGAAACUGCCGUGCUGGAGUAUGGGAGAGGUGCGUGGAAUUCCCGGUGUAGCGGUGAAUCGCGUAGAUAUAGGGAGGAACACCUGUGGCGAAAGCGGCGCACUGGACCAUAACUGACGCUGAGGCGCGAAAGCUAGGGGAGCAAACAGGAUUAGAUACCCUGGUAGUCC